rnacentral:rRNA from 1 species
UACGGAGGAUGCAAGCGUUAUCCGGAAUGAUUGGGCGUAAAGCGUCCGCAGGUGGCUGUGUAAGUCUGCUGUUAAAGAGUGAGGCUCAACCUCAUAAAAGCAGUGGAAACUACACGGCUAGAGUGCGUUCGGGGCAGGCGGAAUUCCGGGUGUAGCGGUGGAAUGCGUAGAGAUCCGGAAGAACACCGGUGGCGAAGGCGGCCUGCUGGGCAGUUUAGCUGACACUGAGGCGCGACAGCGUGGGGAGCAAACAGG